ACGCGCGCAGAUGACGUUUGGCUCGCGGGGCAGCUCGGCAGCAUGGCGUCUGUGGCACUGAGUGAGGCGGAGAAGGUGUACAUCAUGCACGGCGUACAGGAAGACCUCCGCGUGGAUGGCCGUGGCUGUGAGGACUACCGAUGUGUCGAAGUGGAAACUGAUGUGGUGUCCAACACCAGUGGGUCCGCCAGGGUCAAGCUGGGUCACACAGACAUCUUGGUGGGAGUGAAAGCAGAAAUGGGGACGCCGAAGCUGGAGAAACCAAAUGAAGGCUACUUGGAGUUCUUUGUUGACUGUUCAGCCAAUGCUACCCCUGACUUUGAAGGUCGAGGAGGUGAUGACCUUGGCACAGAGAUCGCUAACACCCUGUAUCGGAUAUUUAACAAUAAGAGCAGUGUCGACCUGAAGACCCUCUGCAUUAGUCCUCGGGAGCACUGCUGGGUUCUCUACGUGGAUGUGCUGCUGCUGGAAUGUGAUGGAAAUUUGUUUGAUGCCAUUUCCAUUGCAGUAAAGGCUGCUCUCUUCAAUACAAGGAUACCAAGGGUUCGAGUUCUGGAGGAUGAAGAGGGGUCGAAGGACAUUGAAUUGUCUGAUGACCCUUAUGACUGCAUACGACUAAGUGUCGAGAAUGUCCCCUGCAUUGUCACUCUGUGCAAGAUUGGCUAUAGGCAUGUGGUGGAUGCUACUCUUCAGGAGGAGGCCUGCUCCUUGGCCAGCUUGCUGGUGUCGGUGACCAGCAAGGGAGUUGUGACAUGCUUGAGGAAAGUGGGGAAGGGCAGCCUGGACCCAGAGAGCAUCUUCGAGAUGAUGGAGACCAGCAAGCGUGUGGGCAAGGUGCUGCAUGCCUCCUUGCAGAGCGUUCUGCACAAGGAAGAAAGCCUGGGGCCCAAGAGACAGAAAGUCGGAUUCCUGGGAUGAUUUGCACAUCAACUGCUCAGCUGUGGAUUGUUUGUUGCUUACUUUCCUUUUAAACUGGGGCACUGAAACUCCUAAAUCAGUCUUAAAACGCCCUGGAGAAGGAGCUGAUAUCAUGAAGGAGAGCAUUUCAACCGUGGCAUUUGCUCUCUGCGUUCCAGUUAGACAAAUGGGCCUCACCUCAGGCCGGCCGCAGCUGCAGGCUUGCUCCCAGUGCUUCCCAGAGACCUCCUGUUUUCUGUUCUUAGGCUCCUCUGGCACUGUGUUAUAGAACAUUUGCAGGAGGCCACUCAGCGUCCAGGUAUGUGCAGCCCAGGAGUUCUGGGGACUCAAUUCCUUCUGAGGCAACUCAUGAUCACUGGGGGAUAGGAGCCAGUGGAGAAAUGCUGCUCUGUUAGACCCCUUGGGUAGACAAUUCUGAGAAGCAUUAGGUACACUCGUCAAAACAUGCUGGUAUGAUCAUGCCUCAGGUGCACGACUGGGAUAACUUUUUGUUUCCCUGUUUUACUUUCCCUGGUCCUUCCCUCCUGUGCCCUGUGGGGUUACUUCCCAAAUAAUCAGAACAUGAGUUGUCUCAGGCUCUGCUUUUGGGGGAAAACCCAGACUAAGCAAUUGGUACCAGUAGUUGGGAUGGAUAUAAUACAACUGGGAUGUCAUAAAUGGGUUGGAAUAAAAACCACAAUGGUAAGAAGGGUCAAGGUUGGAAACUGCUUCCCCUCCCUGGCCAAGAUCAUGAAUCAGAGACAAUACUGGAUCUUGGGAGAAAUUGCAGAGAUUAAGACCAACAUCAAAGACUUGAAGGAUGCAAGAUUGAAAUCUCCUGUAUUCCCACCUUAUUGCCAUUUAAUUGAUCUUUGUGUACCCUGUAAAUCCAGAUGAAUCAUGGUAGGUUAGAAGACCACCAAACACACAAGUGAGAGCUCCAACUUCUGCUGCUUUGUUGGAUGAAGUAUCUUCACUAAGAUUAAUCAGCACAGCCUCCAGUGCUUUGUAUGUGGCUAUAGGGUAGGCAAAUUCUUCCUUAAUCCCCCUCAAUAAGAAGGGUCAAAAGCAGAUCUCUUAUGUGGAAGGUCUGCAAAAUGUGUUCAUUGUCUUGGCACCGGUCUAUGUUAUUCACCGACUUUUUGUCACAGUGUUAUCUUCAGGGCCAUCAUGCUGAUCUGUUUAUGUAGAUAAAAUCCGGAUUUUUAGAUCUAGUACAGAGGACGAGGCAAGCCGUUGGAAGUUCUAGGAAAAGACAUGCGUGAGAGGGUGGGAAAUAAAUGCCAUGAAGGUUCAUGUAGGCACCACAUUGGUAAUGUUUCUAGGUAUUAAUGGUGAGGAACAUUCUGAGAGAUGCCCCCUUCAUGUAAGCACCGCAUUGAUAAUGAUUUUAGGUAUUAAUGGUGUGGGUCAUUCUGAGAGAUACCCCCCUAAGGUGGUAGAUUUGGAACCUUACACCGACCCUCAUCCCCACUAUCCUCACUAAGAACUGUAGCACUUGUUACACUUCUGGAUUUUGGAGACAAAAAUGCAGUACUUGAGAAUACUGUCUCAAUGUAUUUACUGAGUAAUUCACAAACCUGCCAGUUGUGAGUGGGAGUCUACAACAAGACAGGACUCUGAAGGCUGUAUAAGCUGCAUUAUGAACAGCGCCCCUGCUCCACGUGACCCAGAAAUUCCAAUAGAGCUAGUGCUCUGUGGGGCAGAUAAGGGUGCUGUGUAGUUUUUGGCAGGCCCAACAGGAAAGUUGCAGCACAGACCCUAAGAUUCUGGAGUAAGGCCAUGUGGUGGAAAACUAUUCACCUCCAAAUGAGUGAGUUUGAAAAGAAUUUUCUGGCCUCCCACUGGGCUCAAUUAGAGACUGAAUACCCAACCCUGGGACCUCAAGUGACCUGAGCCACCCAUCAUGCUUGUUAUUGUCAGACUCACCAGGUCAUAAGGUUGGGUGGGUGCAGCAACAAUCCAUGCAGCAUGAAAAUGUACAUUUAGGAUUAGACCUGAGCAGUUCGGUGGGCACAACCAAGGAAUAUAGCAGGUAGCCCAGAUUCCUCUGUCUCCACUGUUCACCAGUGCCUCCCAUCCACACUUAAGGCCUCAUGGGGGAGGGGACUCCUGCAGCCAGCUUCCGGAAGAGGGAAACCCAAGGAAAACCCCAGGUCUGGCUUGUGGAUGAGUUGGUUCUCUAUAUUGAUGGGUGCUCCAAAGGGACUGCUGCUGCAUUACAGCCCUGCAGGACAGCAGCGAGAAAACUGAGUGCAGCAGUGCACUUGGUUGUUGAGUUUGCACAAAGGGAUAAAGAUAGACAUGGAUUCCUGGGUAGUAGGGAGUGACUUGGCUAGUUGGACAGAGGCCUGAAAGGAGUAAGAUGGUAUGGUCAGAGAAAAGGGAUGUGUAUGGACUUGUGAAAUGGGCCAAAAAAGGGCAGAUAGUGGAGGAUCAUGUUAAUACCCAUACC